rnacentral:rRNA from 1 species
UGCCAGCCGCCGCGGUAAUACGAACCGUACGAACGUUAUUCGGAAUCACUGGGCUUAAAGAGUGCGUAGGCGGCUUAGAAAGUUGGGUGUGAAAGCCCUCGGCUCAACCGAGGAAUUGCGCUCAAAACUACUAAGCUUGAGGGAGGCAGAGGUAAGCGGAACUAAUGGUGGAGCGGUGAAAUGCGUUGAUAUCAUUAGGAACACCUGAGGCGAAAGCAGCUUACUGGGUCUCUUCUGACGCUGAGGCACGAAAGCUAGGGGAGCGAACGGGAUUAGAUA